ACAAACACACACAGGCUAAUUGGGAUCGCUCUCUUUCUCUCCUCUCUUAAAAUAUCCGAGAGAGAGAGUUUUAGCUCUGUUUUUGAAUUGUGUUCGUUUAAACAUAUGAUAUCUUUCCAAUUUUCAUUUUUUCUUACAAUUGCAGAUAAAGUUUCGACAUGUUUGGAUUUAGCUUUCACGUAGCUUUUUUUUCUCUUAUAAUCUCGGUUUUAUGUUCCAGUUGAAUCUUAAGAUUUUCCCCUUUGUUUGGUUAUUCUUUAAUGUAUAUUCCAAAUAAGAAUCAACCUUUUGCAAAGUAUCUUUACUGAAUCUAUGGUUCAAGAUUUUUUUUAUCUACUUUAAAAAUUUUGUGCAAAUUCAGUAGAGUCAGAGCUUUCCACUAUAGGAAGAUGUUCCAUCAAAUGAUAUAACUAUACACAGCUAGAGCUAUGUUAUUAGGCGCUGAUUUAAUCAACUUAUCGAUUCGAUCAUUAACACCUGUUUGGAAGGGUAUCAAUAUACAUCCUAUAGGUGUAUCGAUCGACACUCGUUAUGUAUCGCAUAUGAAAGUAUGAUACAUAUUCAAACAUUUUGACUCACAGUGAAAGCUACAGAUCUUCUAUUUGCAUUUGAGUUCUAGGAUAUUAUCACAUGUUCUUAGCAUUCAUAUCAUAAUUUGGAUUACCUAAACCUGAAAGUCUAGCUUUUGUCUUAUCUUUUUACAAACCACAUCUAUCUUAUUUUUUUUAUUAAUCAUUUAUUGUUUAUUAUAUUCUUACCUAAUCUGGUAAUGCAUUAAAUCUGAUUUAUCGUACACCUACGUUCCAUGUGGAUUCGAUCUCUAAGUAGAACCUCUUAUUUGAGAGAGUAAAGUUGGAUCUAGUGUAAUUUAAAAUGUAUCAUACUCGUACCUUUUUCGUUCCGGUCAUCCACUAAAAAUGGCUGGGACAAUUGUGGACCUAUUUUAACACCUCUAUUGGCGCGGAUAACAGACGACAAAAAUUGAUCUCUACAGCAAAGACCAGGCCCGUCGACAUAAAUGAAAGGACAUGCCCAAUACCAAAAGGAUAAGUGAGUCCUAUUCGUUCAAGAGAUUUUCCACGAUCUUCAGAAACUAUUAUGAAGAUUGAGAAAAAAAGACUAUAAACGAGGAGGAGAUCAAGAGAGAGGGACACACAUUCUUAACCCUAGAUACACUAUACACUCGACCUCAACCUAGAUCUCAUACUCUAGAUACUUUUGUCUUAGAUUUUAUUCAUUGAUUCCAUUGUAACCUUCAUUUUAUUCCAAUUUUCUUCAUUAAUAAAGUUUGUUUUUGUCAACUGUAAUCUGAUUACAUCGUUGUAUUUUGAGGAUAUCGUUGUCCACAUUAUUUUCUUUCCUU
rnacentral:lncRNA from 1 species